rnacentral:misc_RNA from 1 species
GAUGAAGAACGUAGCGAAGUGCGAUACGUAGUGUGAAUUGCAGAAUUCAGUGAAUCAUCGAAUCUUUGAACGCACAUUGCACCUCUCGGUAUUCCGGGAGGUAUGCCUGUUCGAGCGUCAUUUGUACCCUCAAGCUCUGCUUGGUGUUGGGUGUUUGUUCCGCCUCUGUGUGUGAACUCGCCUCAAAACAAUUGGCAGCCGGCGUACUUGUUUCGGAGCGCAGCACAUUUUGCGAUCCAGAUCAACGUACAGCGGCAUCCAAGAAGCCUUAUUUAACGCUCUUGACCUCGGAUCAGGUAGGGAUACCCGCUGAACUUAAGCAUAUCAAUAAGCGGAGGA